GGAGCAGAGCCUUUGUGUCCGUGUCCACCAUGGCUCACACUCCUGUCCUCCUCCUUCACGUUCUCCUUGCACUCCUCGCUCUCUGCACAGGUUUCGUGAGUUCUGUGCCGACUCAGCCGCCUUCGGCAUCCGUGGCCCUGGGACAAACAGCCACACUCACCUGCUCCGGUGUUACUGGUAGCUAUGCAUCCUGGUACCAGCAGAAGCCCGGCCAGGCCCCUGUGCUGGUUAUAUACGCUAAUAGCAAGCGACCCUCCGGGAUCCCCGACCGGUUCUCCGGCUCUAAGUCCGGGAGCACGGCCACGCUGACCAUCGCCAGGGCCCAGGCCGAGGACGAGGCCGAUUAUUACUGUCAGGAGUAUAGUAGUAGUGCUACUGCUCACAGUGACACAGGGUAAUGGGGAAGUGAGACA